GGGUUACUAUUCACCUAGUUACUAUUCACUCUAGUAUUAUUCACUCGGAUAUUCGGGGCACUUUUCGUGUCGGAGAGUAAUUCACGAGUUACUAUUCACAGGUUACUAUUCACCCAAAUUACUAUUCAUCUGAAUAUUAUUCACUCGGGUAUUUGGGAUACUUUUCAUGCCGGGGUACUAUUCACGAGGUACUAUUCCUGAAGUACUAUUCAUAGGGUACUAUUGCGGGGUACUAUUUACCCGAAAAAUAUAUUUCUUUUCUGUCCAAAUUAUUUUUGGUACAUAAAUAUUAUUCUUGAAUUUUACUCCACAAAGCAGUAUCAUGUUGACAAUUUGGAUAUUUUUAAACUCUGGAUAAAUUUAAAGUCUUUAAUAUUUAUCCUUGAUUUCGUUUGAUUAAUGCUUAUAUCAUUGUCAUCAUCCUCAUGCUUAUAUUAUGAUGAAAGUCAUAUUUGGCUUACGUGCAAAGAUGGACUGUUGAUUAUUGGUUUUACAGUUGUAUAUCUUUGGCUUACGUGCAAAGAUAAACUAUUGAUUGGUGAGUAUCUUUGGCUUAUGUGCAUAGAUGAACUGUUUAUUGGUAUGAUUAUGAUCAGAGAUCAUUCGGUAUAAUCAUGACCCAUAAUUUUAUAGAUGAUGUGGUAAAAGUCCUCAUUGGCCCGUAGUGCAUUGAUGGACAGUUAUUGGUAUGAUUAUAACCAGGGAUUAUUCGGCAUAAUCAUGACCAUUGAUGAUUACAUGAAUAUCCUUGGCCGUAGUGUAGGGAUGAUUCGAUGAUGUGGAUUAUUUAUUAAGCUGAGUCUCAGCGAUAAAAUAUUGAUUAUACACUUUUAAUUCAUAAAAGAUUGUAGAUAUCAUACUCUAUUUGACUAUUCUAAAAUACAGUUGUAUGUCUUUGGCCUGUAGUGCAAAGAUGAAUUGUUAAUGAAUAUCUUUGGCCGUAGUGCAAAGAUGAAUUUAUUAGUAUGAUUAUGAGCAGGAAUUGUGAUUUGGUAUAACCAUGAUUUUUGAUGUUUCAGGUGAAGAUAGGUGAUGAAAAUUAUCUUCGUCCUGGUGCGAAGAGGAAUUUAGAAUCAGAAUUAUGAUUAUGAGUUAUUCAUAUAAUUGUGGACAGGAAUUGUUGAUUGAUGUUAUAGGGAUAAAACAUUAUUGGUGGACUUUUAACAUGGAGAAGAUAAUAGAUCUGAUGGUCUAUUUGACUCUUCUAAUGGAUUUCUCGUUCCGCUGCAACUAUGGUUGAAAAGUUUUAUCAUCUACCAUAUGUUCUAAAUCUCUAAUUUAUUACUGAUGAAGGCUAUUGAUGAUGUAAAUUAUCUGUAGUUGUGAUUUUCUUUACUGGGCUAGUUGUGCUUACCCUUUUUGCUUCACAAUUUCUUUCAGGUAAUAAGAGUGUACCUGGGUCGAACGGAGGUAACAGGAGAAUAGAACGGUGGUCUAUAGCUGUUGAGGUUCUCCCUCAAUAGUAUGAAAAUAAUUUUAUUGAGAACUUUAGAUAAGUGUGUCGUAUUGUAUACGUCAUUUGAUAUUUAAUUUUGGUGAACCGAAUAGGGUGAGGUGAACCCAACUUUGGAAGGGUGUUUUGCCACUAUCAUACAAGAUAUCUAAUGACAUACAACCUCGUGUUAUCAUAAGACAGGGUUGUGCACAUCCACUUGCUGAGUAUAUCUACGAGCACUACCUAUAUAAUCUUGGAGUUUGGUUGAAAUAUAAUUUUUAAUUGCAGACAGUGGAGAUAGUUAUAUGUCAAGAGAAGACUCACCAUUAGAAAGAACAUGACAGUUAUCUUCUCAUUUUUCUUUGGGUCUAUUGGG
rnacentral:lncRNA from 1 species